GGUGGUUCUUGGGUGAUGUGCCCCAGAAUCGGGCUCCCUCCUCUGGUUCUGGGGUUCGUCACCUGAGGACCGCU
rfam:Myotis lucifugus cont2.38388, whole genome shotgun sequence.